UGCAAUCGAAAUAUUAGUUCCGCGAUUUUUAUUGCGUUUUUCCUUGAAAAAGUGGAUUCCGCGUAGAAAUAUGUAUCGGGCGUGUCGGAUAAAGUGUCGGGCGAUUGUUAUGUCGUAUUAAUUAAGGCGAGUGAACAUAAUUAGUCAUGUUUUUUCAUGUUCGAAUAAGCGAGUGUUUUUCCGCGACGAGACGGAUCGAACAAGGGAAAAAUGGCCGAUAAAUCUAUAAUUUAAGGGGCAAUUCUAGGGCAUUGAGCAGGAGGCUGAUAUACGGUAGGCAAUACUUAUCAGGCAGACGGAACCAGAGGUAGUCCCGACGAACCGGCUUCUAAUCUGGCCAUACAGCGAAAAUUACAUCUUCUUGCACAGGAGAGCUGGGAGAGGGAAAGCCAGUCGACAUCUGUCUAGAGAGAGCAACGGAAUGCUAUACAUGAUGGAGAAAAGUAACAAGAACUAGAAGGAAUGAGAGAGAAGCUAGGGACAACCGAUGACAGAGCAACCAGACAAUAGGAUCAAUUUCGCAGGACGGAGAUAGAAGCAGUUGAUACUCCCAUGUUGUAGUCCGAAUGCAAAGGUUGGAAUCGAGCACGAUCGCCAGCAAUGAUCUUCCAAAAAAUUGAAGCAACUUUACGAUUUUUCCCAAUUCGAACAUACAAUGUGUCGAAGGAAAAAAAUGGCGGCAAGAGAACUCUAGAUAAACGAUGGAAUUAGAGUGACAGAUGGCAUAAUGGGCACGUAUGGUCCGCAUGAUUUGCAUAUCAAUGAUGAGUAAUAUAAAUUACACAUAAUUACUUGGGCGUUCCCGGGAGAUUCCGCUAAUUUUAUUCUGUCCUAUUUCUAUUCCGCAUUUGUGUGGAGACAAGGCCGUAUCGACAAGGCUCAAUCGUGAACUUAUUUAAAUUACGCGAGAACAAUUUUAGCCAUUAUAUGAAAUUCUGACAG